rnacentral:rRNA from 2 species
UUGGAAGUAAAAAGUUUGUAACAAGGUCUCCGUAGGCGGACCUGCAGGAGGGAUCAUUACUGAGUUUUCAACUCUCCAAACCAUGUGAACUUACCACUGUUGCCUCGGUGGUUGGUGCCUUUACGGGCGCUGCCGCCGGCGGACAAACUAAACUCUUGUCAACUUUGUCAAAUCUGAAUCUAAACUAAGAAAUAAGUUAAAACUUUCAACAACGGAUCUCUUGGUUCUGGCAUCGAUGAAGAACGCAGCGAAAUGCGAUAAGUAAUGUGAAUUGCAGAAUUCAGUGAAUCAUCGAAUCUUUGAACGCACAUUGCGCCCAUUAGUAUUCUAGUGGGCAUGCCUGUUCGAGCGUCAUUUCAACCCUUAAGCCUAGCUUAGCGUUGGGAGACUGCGCUAAACCGCAGCUCCUCAAAACCAGUGGCGGAGUCCUCUGUGCUCUGAGCGUAGUAAUCUUUAUCUCGCUUGUAUGAACGCAGUGGUCGACGGCCAUAAACCGCACCUCUCCCUCGUGGAUUGGGCACUUUUUUAAUGGUUGACCUCGGAUCAGGUAGAAGUACCCGCUGAACCUAAG